AGCACAGGAUUGCAUUUGUGGUGGGCUGAGAGUGUGAUACAUUGCACUGCGUGGAAGCAGUGGUGCUGGGCAGAGCCAUAAAUAUCACAGGAUUGCAUUGGUGCUACACAGAGCCAUAAGCAGCACGGAAUUGCAUUGGUGCUGGGCUGAGAGUGUGAUAAAUUGCACUGCGUGGCUGCAUUGGUGCUGUGCAGGGAUAUAAACCUCGUGGAAAUGCGUUGGUGCUGUGCAGAGCCAUUAGCAGCACGGAAUUGCAUUGGUGGUGGGCUGAGAGUGUGAUAAAUUGCACUGCGUGGAUGCAUUGGUGCUCACAGAGCCAUAAGCAGCACAGGGCUGCAUUGGUGCUGCACAGAGCGGUGCUAUAAACAGCAGUGCAUGGAUGCAUUGGUGCUGCACAGGGAUAUAAACCUCGUGGAAAUGCGUUGGUGCUGCGCAGAGCCAUAAGCAGUACAGGAUUGCAUUGGUGGUGGGCUGAGCAGUGUGAUAAAUUGCACUGCGUGGAUGCAGUGGUGCUGCACAGAGACAUAAGCAGCACAGGUUUGCAUUGGUGCUGGGCUGAGCAGUGCUGUCAGCUGCACUGCGUGGCUGCAUUGGUGCUGUGCAGGGAUAUAAACCUCACGGAAAUGCAUUGGUGCUGUGUAUAGCAGUGAUGUAGGCUGCACUGCAUGGAUGCAUUGGUGCUGUGCAAGAUGGUAAACCUCAUGGAAGUGCGUCGGUGCUGCAAAGAGCCACAAACAUCACAGAGCUGCAUUGGUGCAGUGCAGAGCUCAGGGUCACAAACAGCACUGCAUGCAUCGGUGCUGUACAGGGACACAAACAGCACUGCAUGCAUUGGUGCCACAUGGGGUCAUAAACAGCACUGCAUGCAUCCGUGCUGCACGGGGACACAAACAGCACUGCAUGCAUCGGUGCUGCAUGGGGGGGACACAAACAGCACUGCAUGCAUCGGUGCUGCAUGGGGACGCAAACAGCACUGCAUGCAUCAGUGCUGCAUAGGGGGGGGGUCACAAGACAGCGCUGCAUGCAUCGCAGAGCAGGGCUGUAAACCUGACAGCAGUGCAUGGGCGCAGCUCAGAGCAGAGGGGAAACGUUGCAGCAGGAAGGUGGACGGACGGACGGGCAGGCAGGCAGGCAGACAGACGGACGCGGGUUUUGCCCCCGUGCCCGGUUGCGGUGCUGCAGCUUGGACUGGGGGGGGGUUGGGCUGCACCGCGCUGCACCGCGCGUCACCAGGCAGGACCUGGACCUGCAGGGCUCCUCAUUCGGUCAUUAAGGUCAUUUCCUGCCCAACCAUCCCGUGGUUCUGUGAUCUUCCAGGACCUUUCCAACCCAACCCAACCAUCCCGUGGUUCUGUGAUCUUCCAGGACCUUUCCAACCCAACCCAACUAUCCCACUGUUCUGUGAUCUUCCAGGACCUUUCCAAUCUAACCCAACUAUCCCAUGGUUCUGUGAUCUUCCAGGACCUUUCUAACCCAACCCAACCAUCCCAUGGUUCUGUGAUCUUCCAGGACCUUUCCAACCCAACCCAACCAUCUGAUGGGUCUGUGAUCUUCCAGGACCUUUCCAAUCCAACCCAACCAUCCCGUGGUUCUGUGAUCAUCCAGGACCCUUCCAACCCAACCCAACCCAACCAUCCCAUGGUUCUGUGAUCUUCCAGGACCUUUCCAACCCAACCCAACCAUCUGAUGGGUCUGUGAUCUUCCAGGACCUUUCCAACCCAACCAUCCCACAGUUCUGUGAUCUUCCAGGACCUUUCCAAUUCAAUCCAAGUUUUCCAUGGUUCGGUAACCUUUCAGGACCCUUCUAAUUUAAUUCAACUAUUCCACAAUUUUGUGACCUUCCAGGACCUUUCCAACCCAUCCAUUUCAUGGUUUUGUGACCUUCAAGAACCCUUCUAACCCAGUCCAACACAAC
ensembl:lncRNA